rnacentral:lncRNA from 1 species
CUUCACGAGGAGAGAGUGGAGGCUGAUACCGCCACGCUGUAACACCAAAUAUUUUGGCAUUGUGAGGUUCAGAAAUCACACGUAGGUAUGAUGUUCACUGCCAGAGCGCACGGUCACUGAAAUCCUGGAUAUGCUAGUUUACAAAGUGGAUCUAUUCUAGCAAUCAAACCUAAUAAAAACAGGAAAUCUGGAUACGCUUGUUUUCAAACCUGUGCCGUUAAAGUAUGUAGGCUAACAUUUUCGUGAAGUAAAUGUACCUUUAGCUGUUUAGUUCACCUUAUUUGACAUUUGAUGUUUUUAAACCUGCAAUGUCUUUGUUUAAUGUUUAUGUCAGUGACGUGCUCUGAUCAUAGACUGUAUUAAGCAUGGGUGCAGUCUCAUUAGCGCUACCUGAAGAGGCACUUUAAAGCCCAAUAAUGAUGGUGGCCGCCUCACUGAAAAUAUUGGCAAACAAUUUAUAGAUAUUUUAUCUUGUAUUCCUUUGUCAUGUUUUCACUGAUGGCACAUUUUAACUUUUUUCUACUUCCCAUGUUUUCUUUAUUUAUAUAUUUUUUCUAUUUUACUUCUAUCUUGUUUUUGUUUUUUCCUCACUGUUGCUGAAGGCUUAUCUCAUCCUGCUUUAUCUGGUAUUUACUGACUCUUUAAGCCCUAAACAAUAUCAUUGCCGUGUUCUUCAUGUCAUUUUUCCACAACACUUUGUGAAUUUUUACUUUAAAACUUCUAAUGUGACUCAGAUUACAGGGAUUUCAGACAAAUAUAUAUUUUGUUUUUAACAAAGUAUCUUUAUUAUUUUAAAUAAAACCCAAUACAAUUCAAAAUAGAUUUUGUUAUACUCAAACAUAAUCCCAUCCCACAAGUAACCCAACUAUAUUACACCAUUGUUGUUAUCAAUGAACUUUUGGUAAGUUAACCACAUGUACACAUAUGGAAAAUUUGUGUCCACAGCCUCUUGUCGCACACCGAACAAGUAUAUAAUUUUAACUACAUUCUGGACCUUAUUUAUCUGUACAAGGCCGAUCAUACAAUCUUUUUUUAGCCAGUUAUGUGUACGACUGAGUCUUCCCAAAUGGAAAACUUUGAGUCAGUCCUUAAGUAUCCUGGUUAAAUGUUUGACUUUGGGCUCAAGACUCAAAACAAGAUCGUAUAAAUAUACAAUUCAAAGCCCUUUAUACCAGACAUGAAAACCGUGAUACUGCAGAAGUUUAAAGUGAACAUUUUGUUGAAUGAGUGAAAUAUAACUUGAAUGAUUGAAGUGUAAUUGUAGGUUCUUUCAGUGUUAUCCAAUCCACUGUGGAGGUUCAACCCGGAGUAAAUCAGAAGCAGAUUGGACUUGGACUUUGUGACUUAAUCAGAAUUCCUGGUAUGUUAGCUGUGUACUUGUUUGAUUCAGAGCUCCUCUUCCCACCCAAAGCUUUGCAUGCCUUCCACAUCUCAUGUUUAACAAACAUCAGAGUGGGUUUUCAGUCCGUGCGCUAUUGACACAACCCUCUCAAGUGUUUUUGGUGCUUUGUAAAUGUUAGCAAAAGGUAAAGAGUCCGUUCUACACAGCAGAACAAGAACUGACUCCGCUUGACUUGACCCCACAACCCUUCAGUGUAGCGUAGCUGUGGGCCACCCAGGCUGUCACUCACUCACACCACCCACACAGUGGGUCACCAUUGUUCAGAUGUCUGGAGUCAGUCCAGAAGAACAGGCCUUGCUCUACUCCAUCCCCGUUGGAACAAUUAGUCCAAGAGAUGACCUUUGACCGACUGAGCGGCAGGGAAGAAAUUAGCUUCAAGGAACUCUUAGGAGCUCAAGCCAGGAGUCUUACACGCCUCUGAAGACAAACAAUGACUCGGGUUUUUAGAGAGAGUGAUUAAUUUGCUUCAGCUAAGAGGACGUGGUCUCCAUUUGGCCGUUUAAAGUUAACAUCAAAGACCGAAGGAUAAUCCAACAUUUGCAGUGGGAGCCGCCGAACUUUGGUGCAACGUGCUUGAGGAAAUCCUGUUACAAAAGUUUGGAAGUCCUCUGAACACUGAGUAAUGCCCCCUUAUUGUUGAGACUUUAUUAUUGUUUCUCCUUUUAAGUGAUGCAAUAAAAGUAUUAGAUGAGGCACAUGCAAUGCCUUUCCGAUAAUUAAGUUGACUGAUGUUUGCACCCUUUGGGUCACAUAUUCCGCCUGUCGGUAGGCUCUCUCACACUUUACAGAUGUAAGAAUCAGAAAGGCUGGUGGUUGAAUCUCAUGCAAUUUUAUAUGAAAAACACAGAGGUUUUUUAUUUUCUGGUUAAGCAGUGAUUUUGAAGAUACAAGGUUUCUGCCUGGCUGUAUCAACUAAAGCAGAAACCACAUCUAAGCAUGACCUUUAUAUGCCAUUGAGUACUUUGGGUGGACUGAGAGCGAAGUCGAAAACUGUCACGUGGUCUGACAAAUAAAAAUUUGACCUUCCUCUUGGAAAUCAUGGAUCAAAGUCACUACCCAAUUGGGGGGCACCCAGUGGUGGAUAUGGAGAUGCAUAGGUGUCCACUGCAUGGGUAGUUUUCUAUUCUGGGAUGGCACCAUUAACCUUAAAAGAUAUCCACAGGUUUUGUAGCAACAUAUGCUACCAUGCAGACCACGCCUUUGUCAUGUGAGAUAUUGUGUAUUUUAAUUUCUUUCUUGGUUCCCUAGUCAUUUAAAAACAUAUCUCACUGAAGUUGGGGUUACCAUAUUCGGAAUCCCCAGAAAGAGGACACGACUACACAGGGGCAGAGUCACAGAGUCGUGCAUGGUUAAUUUUGAGAGUUUUUUGGGUCGGGUCGGGUGUUUUUUACGUGAUUCUAACUCAGUAAGUCCACUCAACACAAACACAAAACUUCCAUACAAAACCCAGAUAUUUGAAAGAUUUUAUAAACUCCCCUGGACAAGGCCGGACAGCCCCCAAAAAGAGGACUGAGCAAAAUAUCCUCAGCUUAAUGGAUACUUUAUUCAUAAACUGCUGCACUGAGAUGGAUGUUUCUGUGAAGUUUAAGUCACCUAUUAGCAAAAAAAACAAUCUCUUCCACAGACAUCAUGGGGAUACAGUUAAUGUCAUCAUGUAAACAUGACGUCUUGAGAUCCUCUGACAGCAGAUUUACUUUGAGCAUGUUAGCAGCUGUGACUGUGACACACAGAGACCGUGAGCAGACUGCUGCUCUACUCUCGGGGUCGAAAGCCGUUAGCCAAAUGCCCGAGAUGCAGAGAUUACCACUGUCACUGCUGGGCAACCUGGGCCACCAACUGUCACCGCACUCAACCACAUCAAACACACAAGGUAGACGUGCAUGUGGUCCCAAACUGAGAUGUACUCGUACAGUAGACUGUCAGUAUCUUUGUGUACAUUCAGCACAUACUGUACUCAAUCCUUCAUUCCAAUCUAUAAACAAGCACUCUCUAUAGUCAUCCAGUCGUCAUAGUUAUGAAUCCAAGGACACACGUGCACCCCCCCUCCCUUCACUCAUCUCACAUAUUUCCGUUCCCACAGAGGAUAAGAGGCAAAAUACCCCUAAUCCUCAGCAUUGGCACAUCAUAUCCACCCCCACCUUUUCACCGGUUGUAUCAGAGAUUUGACUCAAACCAGGGUUGGCAAUGUUGGAAUACUCUUCCCUUCCAUAUCCCUAUCCGACCCGACUUCCAGCGUAGCCACAACUCCUCCAAUCCCAUCAGGCCUACACAGGGCCAGCUGCCCACAGGUCUCGUGCUUGGCUGCGGUGUCUUAAAGGAUCUCCGUGCCGCUAAUGCCACUUAAUCACAAAGCGCUUCAUCCAAGGAAGGCUCAACACUGACGGUGCCUCCCUAGAGAUCAAACGUCACCGUCCCACGGCCGGCUGCUCACUGACUGGCCCUUCGCCUCCUUGGCUUACUACAGCAGACUGCCAAGACAAGAGGGGUGGGGGUUACUGUACCACAGCCAGAGAUGACUGUAUGGGAUAUAAGAGGCUGCCAGAAGGAAAAGGAACAAAGCCAGACUGAGGGCUGAUGGGAUAGGAUGCUGAGGAGAACAGAUGUCAUGUUGCUUGAUGUCAUCCAGUCUUUUUGUGGAGUCCUGACUUGAGGAACAUUGAUUUGAACAAAGGAUUUCCAUGUCCUCUGUCGAGAUGUCACCCAAGAUUCACUUACAAAAUCACUGCUCUGCACUGUUGAAGCACAGUGAUCUUUUGAAGUAUAAAAACCUGUCCCUUAAAUAGUGGGUCAAAGCUUCAGUUACUGUUGCCAUGGAGAGUACCGCGAUGUAGUUGACGAUUGCCUACCCUUUUGCACUGUCUUUGCAAAGCACACCUGGAUAUGAAUAUUGGCUUGAAAAUGGAUCAGAACCCAAGCCAAGCCCCGAGUGAAUACUAAAAAGUCAGUCAACACCAAAUGUGGUCGUUUAAGGGGGACUGGAAACCUGCACGUGUAGAUUAUCUAAAUUACAGUAAAACCACCUCCACUAGUGAACCAUGUGGUGAGUCUUACAUUUUCAGACGAUUGGUUGGCAGCUUUGGUGUAUCUCUGUAAAUUUAGAUGGUGGUAAAAAAAUUGGAUGUUAAGUGUAAGUCUGAUAUGAACUGUGCUUUUAAAGACACAUGAAAGCAAAGUCAAAUGUCUUAAAGUCAAUCGUGCAUUUGGGGAUCAGUUUUCUCCAGCAUGGGUACAAUCCAACACUUGCCAAUCAACAUGUGCAUGCUCCAGAGUCCACACACUGGGCCUCAAUCUUUGAACAGCAUAAACACAUGGAAGUAAAUGGAUCAGCAAACUGUAAAUAUACUUUAUUUUUAGUUUAUUAUUACUUGAGUGUCGAGGGUACCUCCAUAAUGACACAAGACUUUGCUGUACCUUUGUUGUAAAUGGCUAAAAUUGUGGAGCAAUGAGACGGUAGUUUUGAGUUGCCUCGCUGAAUAUUUCGCCUGUCCUCCUCCAGGCUCUUUUCUGACUUGUAUCUCCUCUUUGUAUCGACUUUCAUUUUUGGUGUUUUACUCACAAACACUCACAUCCUGACACCACUGAGUGAGUGACGCAACUUUCAGGAAAAAUUAGAGUCCAGGUACAUUCAGUGACUAAAGUGCAACAAAACUGUUAUGUAGUCACUGUUGAUGCUUAUCGAUUUUAUUUUGUCUGUUUAUGCGCCUCAUGUGAACAAACAGUCCUGUGCCUCAUACUUUAAAAGUGCUGAAUCUUUAUUGUUUAGGAGAAAAAUUCGCUUCCUGCCUUCCUGGCGCCUGAUCAUGGCCCAGCCAAAACACAGGCCUCUUUCCCAUUUCCCCCCUCUGUUCAGGAAGACCGGCUGUGAGGUCAGGAGGUCACAGCCUGUUUAGAGGGACAAAGAGGGACAGUAUACACGGUGAGACAUGGACAAACACGCUGUUUGGGGUAUAACCGGCCAGGAAGUUUAUCAAAGGAUAAACUAGAGAAAUUGGCCCCACCGUAAUGAUCCUGGAGGUGGGUCUGAACGCUCUGGUCCACAGUGCUGACAAUGUGAGGGAACCUGUCCACAUAGUAGAGGAUAUAAAAGAGGUUUUAGGUUUUGUUUCAGUGGGUAAUUAUUGUAGAUGGACCAAGAUACAUCUUCUUCAAAAUAAAAGCAUAGUUACCACACAAGGAAUAAAUCUCCCCAAAUGUAAGCCAGUAAAAGUAUAUCACAAUAAAAGCAUAAGAAACAAUCGCUUCAUGAGGCAAUAUGGAUGUAACGGUCACAAGGCUGAUGAUGUGGACCAGAACCAGAACCAGAAACUUGAA